GCCCCUCUUCCGCGUCAUGUUCAAGGGCAUGGCCAGCAAGGAGGUCGUGGGGUCGCGGGACUGGGACCCCCGCGUCGCCGUCCUCGCCGUGGCGCUGUGCGACUCCCAGGGAAAGGUGGUGCUCAGUAUACAGAAGCCGGUGGAAGGGUUUGUGGGCGGACGCAUGAUGCUCGAGGCAAUGGCGCUCACCGAAGGCCUCCAGGCGGCGCUCGGGUUAGGGAUCCAGAGCAUCGGGAUUGUCAAUGAUUACAAGGCACUCCACAACCAUGUAUGCCAUGAUGCA
rnacentral:lncRNA from 1 species